GACGUAGGGCGCAAGCGUUGUCCGGAUUUAUUGGGCGUAAAGAGCUCGUAGGUGGUUUGUCGCGUUGUUCGUGAAAUCUCACGGCUUAACUGUGAGCGUGCGGGCGAUACGGGCAGACUGGAGUACUGCAGGGGAGACUGGAAUUCCUGGUGUAGCGGUGGAAUGCGCAGAUAUCAGGAGGAACACCGGUGGCGAAGGCGGGUCUCUGGGCAGUAACUGACGCUGAGGAGCGAAAGCGUGGGGAGCGAACAGG
rnacentral:rRNA from 1 species